UUCUGAGCUCCUCUUCCGGUUUCCAUCCCCGACCAGUGCAGACACCUUCAGGGAUACAACCCCUUCGACCAGGGCUGUGCCAGCAACUGGUAUUUAACAAUUUGUGCACCACUGGGACCCAAGUACAUGGCUGAAGCUGUCCAGCUGCAGAGAGUGGUGGGGCCUGACUGGACAUCCAUGCCGAAUCUGCACCCUCCAAUGUCCCCCUCUGCUCUCAACCCCCCAGCCCCAACCUCUGGGUCCCUACAAAGCAGGGAAGGGACCCCCGGGGCGUGGUGAGGCUGCAGCUCUCCAGGAGUUCCACACGGGCCCAGUGCUGCCCCUGCUGCUGCAGGAGCCCCCAGGCGAGGUUCGGCCUUCCUCUCGCCCCUGUGCACCCGGAGAUGCCCACAGCACCAGCACCUGAGCUCACCUCCGAACCCGCCUCCUGAACCCGCCUCCUGAACCUGCCUCCUUACCUCCCACUUCCUGAGCCCUGAGUGGAAGCCUUUCUGUGCCUUGCCCUUUGCCCACUCCCCUGGUGGGACUGCCAAGACCCUCAAUGCCCAUUAAAUACUCUUGCCUGCCUCUUA
rnacentral:lncRNA from 1 species